rnacentral:misc_RNA from 1 species
AAGUCGUAACAAGGUUUCCGUAGGUGAACCUGCGGAAGGAUCAUUAACACUCCAAAACAAACUCAUUACUCUUGGCAACAAGGGUAUAUGAAACCCUAUUCACAAGCGAACCCGAAGGGGAAUUGGGAGGGCGAGACUUUCCGUUUCAACCUCUCUCUUUCUCCUUCACUUUCCUUUUGUCCCUUUUUUCUUUAAGCCCCACAUAUUUUACUUUUAGACUGACUGAGACGCAAGUCUCGUUGUACUUCGAAAGAAGUGCAAUGAAAAUCGAUAAGAUUAACAAAAAAACAACUCUUAGCAACGGAUAUCUUGGUUCUC